rnacentral:rRNA from 1 species
AUUGAACGCUGGCGGCAUGCCUUACACAUGCAAGUCGAACGGUAACGGGCCUUCGGGUGCCGACGAGUGGCGAACGGGUGAGUAAUGCAUCGGCAUGUAACUUUCAGUGGGGGAUAACGUAGCGAAAGUUACGCUAAUACCGCAUAUUCUGUGAGCAGGAAAGCAGGGGAUCGCAAGGCCUUGCGCUGAUUGAGCGGCCGAUAUCAGAUUAGCUAGUUGGUGAGGUAAAGGCUCACCAAGGCGACGAUCUGUAGCGGGUCUGAGAGGAUGGUCCGCCACACUGGAACUGAGACACGGUCCAGACUCCUACGGGAGGCAGCAGUGGGGAAUUUUGGACAAUGGGGGCAACCCUGAUCCAGCCAUGCCGCGUGAGUGAAGAAGGCCUUCGGGUUGUAAAGCUCUUUCGGCCGGGAAGAAAUCGCACGGGCUAAUACCCUGUGUGGAUGACGGUACCGGAAUAAGAAGCACCGGCUAACUACGUGCCAGCCGCCGCAGUAAGAC